ensembl:lncRNA
GUUCUGUUCUCGGUGAGGCGACGCAAACACGUUGCUUCAGAGUGAGUAAAAGCGUUUGUUUUUUGAGGGUACUCAUGCAGAACUAUGUGUUUUAUGUAUCUGUCACAUGCUAUAACUUUGAAAGUUUACUCAAUGUUGUUGAAUUCGUUUUUUAUUGUGUAUGCAUGUCAUUUGUUCGUGGUGUGGAAAGACUGGCUAAAAGAUGCGCAUGGAGGAGGUUGGCUAGCUGAUUCAGCAUGAUUAGCACCCUUGGAAGCAGAAAGAGUUUUCACGGUGCCAUAUUGUCGGUGGUUCAAAAGAGGAGAGAAUAAAGUUGCAUCAGUCGAAGCUCUCUGCGUCAUGAGUGGUAAUUCCAAGUGGGCAGCUACGCCACCUGCAGACUGACGGGUUGGUGGAGUGGCUGAAUAAGACUUUAAAGUCCAUGAUUCAUAAGUUCGUUCACGAGGUUAGACCCUCUGUUGUUUGCAGCACGGGAGGUUCCCCAGCCCCCCAUAAUUGUGUUUAACUGAAAGUGAAAAUUAAAGGAAGUUUCUAGAACUAUCUGGCUUUUUUAUUUUGUUUGUUUUUUAUUUAUAUUCUUCAAAAUAACAUUACACUUGGGAGGAUACAUGCAUUUGACCUUGACCUACCAAUGUCAGAGUUUACUUUAAUUGAACUUCUUCACAAACCUUUAACGUCUUCAUUAAGGAAAUCAUUUCAAGAAACCAUCCAUGCUCUUCCACUUAUCCUUGGCAGGGUCAUGGGGGGCCAAAGCACAUCCCAUAGCGUGAGAAGGCGGGUAAUCUCUGGACGAGUCUGUUGCAGGGCUAACACAGAGAAACGGACAAUUAUUCACACUCACAUUCACACCUAUGGGGAAUUAAGAAUGACCAAGAACCUAACCCCACUGCAUGGUCUUGCAAAAUUACCCACUGCACGGAUAUAGCUUAAAAUCUCAAGGUUUAACAGCUUAUAGAAGCCAAAAAUGUCAGCCGCUUUUGGUCAUGUCAUAUGGAUAAGGUAAGAUAAUGAGUUGGGGAAUGGCUGCAAUCACAGCAUUGUAAGAUGGUGAAAGAUAUACUCAAACAACUUGUUUUGUAUGAGUUGAUAUGUAUGUAAUCCUUUUUGUUAUUUAUUCCAAAUAUCUACUAUUUAUAUAUUUUGGGUGUGGCGCACCUAUAUUCUGUUGUACAUGUACAAUAAUAAUAAAGGGCUGUUCACUUCUGUUCUA